rnacentral:lncRNA from 1 species
UGUUUCUUCAGCUCAGGAGACCACUUCUAAUCUAGGGCGUGAUUUUUAAUUUUUCAUAUGCAAACUGUAUAUUGCCAUUCCAUUCCUAACUUAGAAAACUGAAUUUCUCCAUCUCCUCCUGGCAGCUGCCAGGAUUUUCUCCUAACAUGCAGAACUUUGUUUAAACACUAAUAAAUUUAAAAUUGUCCUUGAACAACAACAAUAAAAAGGAGGAAAACAAAAGCUUUUUUGUGCUUUAAGAAUUUUUGUCUUAAAGAAAUAUGAAACAGACCAUGAAUUAUUUGAGGCUAUAAUUUAUUUGCUUCCCAAUAAUAACUCUCAUUUUACAUGCACAAAGUUCAUGAAGAACUAGAAGGUUGUCCAACUAUUAUGGUUACUAUAGCUUCUAUGUGCAUGUUAAGAUGACUCUACAUCAUUUGAAACCCUACAGCAAAUAUUUCAAGAAUUAUUCAGUCAAUCAAAAUGUAUUAAGCUCUAAGUCUAUACUAGGAAAUUUUAGAAUAUUAUGACCCAAACUCUAAACUUGCCUUUUUUCCCUUUUAUGUAUAACACAAAAUUAUUUGUCUUUAACUUGAUCACACUUGCCACAUGGCUAUCAAUAAAUCAGUGAGUGGAGCUUUGCUUAAGUACGUUCCUUGGUGGUGGACAUGGUAGUGCAUACCUCUAAUUCUAAUUAGAAUCUAAGAAAAAAAAAAACGAUUGUGAGUUGAAGACCAUCUUGAAUUAUAUGGGUAGCUUGUGACUGAGAAAAACAAAGCAGAGAAAAAUCUGGUUAACUAGUAGUUAGUUAUAAGAGAUGUAGGACAAGAAUUCCAAACUCUAUCAUCUUCACCUAUUCUGAAAAUAAAAUUAAAGGUGGGAAUAAGAAUUUUGAAAAACUAAAAUUACAUCUGCAAUUUUCUAUUGCUUUCACUGUAAUAUAAAUUUAAUUAAUAAAAAUAAAUAAGUAAACCACCAACAACAACCACAACAACAUCAUUUGAUUCAGUGAACAGACUCAUCCAACCAGCUAAGAAAAUCUAAACAACAUGAAAAGUUUUGUUAAUAGACACAAAAAUCUGUCCUAAACCAUCAUGGAUAUUUUAACUUUUUAUCUUGACUAUGUCUUACAGUAUUUAGACCAGUGUAUUCAAAAUCCAAAUCCAUGCCAUGAUGAUAAACAAGACAGGGUAUACCUGGCAUCAUAGAAAUUAUGAUAAAAUAUGUGUGGGGCAGGGGCCAGAACAUCAAGAUCUGCUAACAAUGUUUCUCAAGGAAACAUAUUUGAAUAAAUUAGCUCUAGCUUCUGUUUAGUUUCAAUCAAAAUAAAAAUGAGAGGUUUUGAAUUAAUGGAAAGCAUUUUGACAGUAUAAAAUGCAUAUACUUUCAAAGAGGUUGUGUGCACGGAAAACCCCACCGUGGAGGACUCCUCUUACUCGUGAGCCUCUUUUACUACUAUUAUCUCAGUUGAAGGCAAAUUCUAAAUGAAUACAACUGUUCAAGCCAAACCAUGGGAGUUUAUGUCAAUGCCUAUAUUCAGGCUAUUUAUUUACUUUAAAAUAAAAUAAUACAAAAUUACUUAUUUGAUACCUACUAUUUUUAAGCCUCUGGUUUAGAUACCAGGAUUUGAGAUAUGAUCAAAACCAAAUUAUAAUCUUCAAAAUCUUUAAAUGUUGCUCUACAGAAAUAGCAGCAAGUUAGCAUAUAUCCUGACAAACGUACAGCACAACGUAUAACUCACAUAGUAUCAGAGCAUCUAAACUGCUACCAAUCUGAUCUUAACAUAGCUCAUCCUCCUGGUCCACAGUUUCUUAUACCCAACCAACUAUACAUCCAAACUGCUUAUAAAUUUUACUGAACAGUGAGUAGAGUAUCACAUUUUCUUACCAAAGCAUCCCAGUGACUCUCGUGGCAUUUAGUAGUAAACCUGAGCUCCUUCAUUAACAUGAUGUGAAAUAACUCUCCAAAUUAUAUUACUAAUCUUGUAAGAAUGACCUUUUUUUAUAUCUUUUUUAAUAUUCAAAUUUUGGGAGGACUUGUAUGGUCCUUUUCAUGUAAUAAUUUCUCUGACUCUUAAUGACUUUCCUUGUUAUUCAAGUUUCAUAACAACACACAUCUGCAUGUUACUACCCUAAGUGUGUUCUCUAACCAUUUCCCUUCAAAGUAAAAUGUUCCUCCUUACAGCUGUUUACCAAGCUGUCUAGUUACUAUUGCUUACGAGAAAGCUGCAUGAGGAUAGUACUAACUUAGGUGUGCUCAAAGUUGUAUCCUCAGUGGCUAGACAGCGGUAAGGUAAUAAGUAUUUGAGGUACUGUAGGCACCCAGUUUGUGAAAAAUGAAUUUAUGCAUAAAUGAAAGAAUACCUACCAUGAUUGCCAGCACAUGCCUUUAUAUUUGAAGUUUAAAAACAGUUGCAUGUGUCAUUAUUACCUUUUACUUCUCUAGCAUAGGGCAUGCAGUAGAUACUCAAGACAUGUCUAUUGAGAGUAUAAAUCCCCAAAAAUUGACAUCAUGCUUUUUGAGUCUGUUUAACAAUGUACCAACUUCUUGUUGCUGAGGUUCAAACCCAAGACCUCAUGCUUGCAUAAGCAGAGGCAACUCUUCUAACCUAUUCCACAGCUUAUGAUCUUCUCUUAUCAGGGUCUAAAAUGUUAAGGUAUUUGAUAAAGCAAAGUCAAAAACAAGGGAAAAUGAAACAGAGAAACAAAGAGGGAAAGAGAUGAAAUGCUGAAUAUCCCUCAGGCUACGGGAAGGGGAGGUGCAGUUCUCAAAGUUAACUGACUGGCAAGGCAGGUGCUGAGCUAAAGCUGAACAUCAGCAAAUCGAUUUUGCCUGAAGAUGGAAAUUUCUAACUUUGAAGAGAGUAGUGCCAUGAGGAAAGGAGAAAAGCAAGACUUUUUUUUUCUUUUUUUUAAGAAAAAUAAGGAAGCUGAUUUGG